rnacentral:rRNA from 1 species
CUUCAAAAAAACUUUUAAUUGAAGAGUUUGAUCAUGGCUCAGAUUGAACGCUGGCGGCAGGCCUAACACAUGCAAGUCGAGCGGCAGCACAGAGAAA